UACCUGGUUGAUCCUGCCAGUAGUCAUAUGCUUGUCUCAAAGAUUAAGCCAUGCAUGUCUGAGUACAUACCUGAACUAAGUGAAACCGCGAAUGGCUCAUUAAAUCAGUCGUAAUCUAUUGGAUGUUGACAAUGCUCACUUGGAUAACUGUGGCAAUUCUAGAGCUAAUACAUGCAACUAAGUCCUGACGCUUCCUGCGUUCACUCUCGUUAAUUCGGGUUGUUCGUCACAGCGGAAGGACGCAGUUAUUAGAAUCAAGAUAAAAACAAACCUGUUUUGUGAAUCUCGAACGCGGCUGCGGUCCGUCGAGCACAAAAAACAAACUUCUAGUCCCGUAACGUGGAACCUUCGUGUUUCGAACGACUUGGCUACGAAAAUAUUUGUCUUGGUGACUCUGAAUAACCUCGCCGAGCGCUAAGGUCACAGUACCGGCGCCGUAUCCAACGAGCGUCUGCCCUAUCAGCUUGAUUGUAAGUUAUACGCUUACAAAGGCUGUAACGGGUAACGGGGAAUCAGGGUCGAUUUCCGGAGAGGGAGCCUGAGAAACGGCUACCACAUCUAAGGAAGGCAGCAGGCGCGCAAAUUACCCAAUCCCGGCACGGGGAGGUAGUGACGAAAAAUAACGAUGCGAGACUCUUCCGAGGCCUCGCAAUCGGGAAUGAGUUUAUAAUAAAUCCUUAAGACAAGGAUCUAUUGGAGGGCAAGUCUGGUGCCAGCAGCCGCGGUAAUUCCAGCUCCAAUAGCGUAUAUUAAAGUUGCUGCGGUUAAAAAGCUCGUAGUUGGAGCUAGCUUUUCGGACCGUUCGGCCCGUGGCGUGUUUCGUCUUUUCGCCUGUUCAAAUAACGCGGAACGACCUCUUCUCACCAACCGGUCCUCUCUUGUCAUUCGUGGCGGAGUGCGUAUCGGCGUGGGGUGGCGGUUCGUGUGAGCAGUGUGGGAGGCGUCCGCUCGGAUCAUAGCCGAUAAAUAUCGGUUUCGGAAGGCCUAUGAAGGGCGCUUAAUACUAAGCGUCUGGAUUGACAGAUAAAAGCCGUCGGCGCUCGCGGUUUGCUCUUAACUGGGUGAGCCGUGCGCGGUCGACACGUUCACUUUGAGAAAAUUUAUGUGCUCAAAGCGGGUACAAACCCAAAACGGGAAUGCAGCGGCCCUUCGUGGACGUGAAUUUCUCUUAAAAGCCCGAAAGAUGACGCAUGGAAUGAAGGAAUAGGACCUCGGUUCUGUCCUUAUUUCCAUUCCAAUUGAAAUAUGCUAUUUUUAUUACUUAGGGUUAUUUUCUAUGGAAGCCGAGGUAAUGAUUAAAGGAAACGGACGGGGGCUUAGGUACUGCGGCGCGAGAGGUGAAAUUCUUGGACCGUCGCAUGACCACCUACUGCGAAAGCAUUUGCCAAGAAUGUUUUCAUUAAUCAAGAACGAAAGUCAGAGGUUCGAAGGCGAUCAGAUACCGCCCUAGUUCUGACCGUAAACUAUGCUAACUGGCGAUCCGCCCGCGUCAUCCCCACGACCGGGCGGGCAGCCCCCGGGAAACCUCAAGUUUUUGAGCUCCGGGGGGAGUAUGGUUGCAAAGUUGAAACUUAAAGGAAUUGACGGAAGGGCACCACCAGGAGUGGAGCCUGCGGCUUAAUUUGACUCAACACGGGGAACCUUACCAGGCCCAGACGCCGGAAGGAUUGACAGAUUAAAAGCUCUUUCUCGAUUCGGUGGGUGGUGGUGCAUGGCCGUUCCUAGUUGGUGGAGCGAUUUGUCUGGUUGAUUCCGAUAACGAACGAGACUCUAACCUAUUAAAUAGUCCGACGAUAAUCUCCCUCGUCGCGGGCUUUCUCUAAAAAAAACCGGGACUCGACCGAGUACCUCUUUGGAGGAGUGGGUCGGAUGGAAUUUCUCAGGGCGGCGGGCUUGCUUGUUGUCUUGUUUUUGACCCCACCAUUCCUUCUUAGUGGCCGGUUCCCCGGUCAAAUAAAAGAGAGUUCCGGCGUGUGGAGCGUCGAGCGGGAAUCUUCUUAGAGGAAUCGGCGGUUUUUUCCAGCCGUAAGAGAGAGAGCGAUAACAGGUCUGUGAUGCCCUUAGAUGUUCUGGGCAGCACGCGCGCUACAAUGAAGGUAGCAGCGCGUAUUCCUCUCCGAAAGGAGCGGGUAACCGUGUGAAACCCCUUCUCGAUUGGGAUUGGGGAUUGAAAUUAUUUCCCAUAAACGAGGAAUUCCUAGUAAGCGCGGGUCAGCAGCUGGCGUUGAUUACGUCCCUGCCCUUUUGUACACACCGCCCGUCGCUACUACCGAUUGGAUGAUUCAGUGAGGGUAUCGGACUGGCGCCUCGAGAGCUCGUCUCUCUACGGUCGACGGAAAGAUAUCCGAACUUGGUCAUUUAGAGGAAGUAAAAGUCGUAACAAGGUUUCCGUAGUGAACCUGCGGAAGGAUCAUUA
rnacentral:rRNA from 1 species